rnacentral:rRNA from 1 species
AUUGAACGCUGGCGGAAUGCUUUACACAUGCAAGUCGAACGGCAGCACGGGUGCUUGCACCUGGUGGCGAGUGGCGAACGGGUGAGUAAUGCACCGGAACGUAUCCAAUAAUGGGGGAUAACGCACCGAAAGGUGUGCUAAUACCGCAUACGCCCUGAGGGGGAAAGCGGGGGAUCGUAAGACCUCGCGUUAAUGGAGCGGCCGAUGCCGGAUUAGCUAGUUGGUGAGGUAAAGGCUCACCAAGGCGACGAUCCGUAGCUGGUCUGAGAGGACGACCAGCCACACUGGAACUGAGACACGGUCCAGACUCCUACGGGAGGCAGCAGUGGGGAAUUUUGGACAAUGGGCGCAAGCCUGAUCCAGCCAUUCCGCGUGAGUGAAGGA